GCCCUAUGAAGAAGAAAUCUCAUUGUAGCAAGUGCCGGAUGACACUUCACACACUAUGUUCUGU